CCUACGGGUGGCAGCAGUGAGGAAUAUUGGUCAAUGGGCGGGAUCCUGAACCAGCCAAGCCGCGUGAGGGAGGACGGUACAGAGGGUCGUAAACCUCUUUUGUCGGGGAACAAAACCUGGGACGUGUCCCGGGAUGAGUGUAUCUGAAGAAAAAGCAUCGGCUAACUCCGUGCCAGCAGCCGCGGUAAUACGGAGGAUGCGAGCGUUACUCGGAAUCAGUGGGCGUAAAGGGUGCGGAGGCGGGAUUGCAAGUCAGAUGUGAAAGCCUAGGGCUUAACCAUGGAACGGCCUUUGAAACUGGUAGUCUAGAGUAUGGGAGAGGUAGGUGGAAUGCUUGGUGGAGGGGUAAAAUCCGUAGAGAUCAAGAGGAAUACUCAUUGCGAAGGCGACCUGCUAGAACCUAACUGACGCUGAUGCGCGAAAGCGUGGGGAGCAAACAGGAUUAGAUACCCGAGUAGUC
rnacentral:rRNA from 1 species